UCCUAUAGCAUAAAUUUCUUUCCUCUUCAUGAGUUCCUAUUUUUUUUUUCCGGAAAGCUAAAAGCCUAGAUCCAUAAAUGUCUAUAUAAGAUAAGAGAUAUGAUAUGAUGAUGCCAUAUUGAUAAUGAUGUUAUUUUUGCUUACACUCACCUUAUGUACUAAUUCCUUCAAGGUGAGGCAGAAUGUCAAUAAUUGCUCCAUAAUGGAAUCGGGGGAUCACGACCUUACGUCACCCCGAUAGAGUAUAGUUGAUCUUGAGCCUUAUGCAUAUACUAUGAUAAGAUAAGCAUAUUAUGAUAAGCAUAUUAUUACAAGUAUUUUAUGAUGAGCAUGCCAUGAGCAUAUUACACCGCGCCUAGUUGGCCGGGCAGUCACCGCUAAGGCGGGCAGCUAUACGGAUACACCAUGACCUUUUGGCAUGGGCAGACACCACUAGUGGACGGCAUGAGAUGGUACUCCGGAUGCGGGAGGCCUGGACACGGGCUAAUGUUAUUGAUUAUCACACCGUUCCGAUAUGGACGGGCAGCUUGCAUAUUAUGCAUAUAUGAGAUUAUGAUGAGUAGGAGUAAGACAACAUGCAUUACUUCUUUUAUGAUUGUCAUUCAGAUUUAGAUGUUUCAUAUUGAUGUUCUCAUUAUAUUAUCACUGUCUUUCUUCAUUGUUUAUGCCUCUCAUACUCUGUACAAUGUUCGUACUGACGUCCGUUUUCUUUGGACGCUGUGUUCACGCCCACAGGUAGACAGGGAGGUGAGCUUGGUCCAGACCCUUAGUAGCUGUCAGCUGAUUGAGAGCACUCCAUUGUCCGGAGACCUGCGAGCUCGAGAAGUAGACGUUGGACAUUAGAUAGAGUUCAAGGUAGACAGGGAGGUGAGCUUGGUCCAGACCCUUAGUAGCUGUCAGCUGAUUGAGAGCACUCCAUUGUUCGGAGGUGCUUAUGAUUCUUCUUUUGGUAUAUAUGCAUAUUUUGGGCACGACGGAGUCUUGUUGCGUCUAUAUGUUUAGUAUGUCAGUAAAGGCUCGUAGAUACGCAGUGUGGGUCAGAUGGUCUCACAAGAUGUUAUUAUUAUGUAUAUAUUAUUUUGAUGGUCGAGAGGCAAAUGUAUAUAAGUAUUUAUGUUUCUAUAUAAAAUAUGAUUUUCCUACAA